AAUUUUGUUUUUAUACCCCCGCUUUAAAAAAGGGGGGGGUAUACUGUUUUACCUCUGUCUGUCAGUCCGUCUGUCCAUCAGUCCAUCAGUCCGUCCGUCAGUCAGUCCGUCCCAUGAAACUUUCGUCACAUUUUUCUCAGGAACUAGACAUCCACCCUUUCUGUAAUUUGGUAUCAACAUUUAUAUAUGUCAGCCAUACCGUGUGAUGCGUUUUCAGAUUCAUCACUUGACAACUUCCUGUUUACCGAACACUUGUCUGAUUUUACACAUGAUAGCCAAGUUGAAAAUUUUCGUCACAUUUUUCUCAGGAACUACAAUACAAGGAUUUCUGAAAUUUGGUUUCAGGAUUUAUAUAAGUCAGCUUUACCGUGUGAUGCGUUUUCAGAUUCAUCAAUCGACAACUUCCUGUUUACCGAACACUUGUAUGAUUUUACACAUGAUAGCCAAGUUGAAAAUUUUCGUCACAUUUUUCUCAGGAACUACAAUACAAGGAUUUCUGAAAUUUGGUUUCAGGAUUUAUAUAAGUCAGCUAUACCGUGUGAUGCGUUUUCAGAUUCAUCACUUGACUACUUCCUGUUUACCGAACACUUGUAUGAUUUUACACA
rnacentral:lncRNA from 1 species